rnacentral:rRNA from 1 species
UGGGGAAUCUUGGACAAUGGGCGCAAGCCUGAUCCAGCCAUGCCGCGUGAGUGAAGAAGGCCUUAGGGUUGUAAAGCUCUUUUGGCAGGGACGAUAAUGACGGUACCUGCAGAAUAAGCCCCGGCUAACUACGUGCCAGCAGCCGCGGUAAUACGUAGGGGGCAAGCGUUGUCCGGAUUUACUGGGUGUAAAGGGUGCUCAGGCGGAUUUGUAAGUCAGAGGUGAAAUCUUACAGCUUAACUGUGAAACUGCCUUUGAUACUGCAAGCCUAGAGUAUGGAAGAGAGUGAUGGAAUAUCUGGUGUAGCAGUGAAAUGCGUAGAUAUCAGAUAGAACACCAAUGGCGAAGGCAGUCACUUGGUCCAUUACUGACGCUAAAGCACGAAAGCGUGGGUAGCAAACA